rnacentral:lncRNA from 1 species
GGGGCUUGGUAUUAAAUGUUUAACAGCCGUGGUGGGUUUGAUCCCACAUUGCUGAGAAAAUUAGUCACUGCAGGUUCAGGUGAGGAAUUUCUGGACAGGCCUCAACAAUCUGCUUCUAACUGGGGGAUGGGAGUUUUCAUUUAAGAAUCCCAAAGGCACUGUCAUACAGAGGAGGGAGCACUAGACAAGGAGUCUUGGUUCCUGGAUUCAACACAUUUAUUCCUCCAUGUGUCUGGCAUCGUGCUAAUCCUGGCUCCUUCCUGUGAGGCUACAGCUGUGUGAUUUUGGAGUGAUUCUGAAGAGGGAAGCCAAGCCCGAGCUUCAUUGCUGGAGGUGCGGCCUUGGGGAGCGGUGGCCUGUUCUGCAUGGUGAGACAAACCUCCUGUUCCUGUGCGUGAAGGACUGAGAAGUCUGUUCAGUUGUUUAUGCCCAGUGUCUGACAUGCAGGCAGCUCUGUGCAGCACUCUCACCGACCUGCUCUUUUAGGUAACCUGCUUUCUCUGUCUGGAUACCCGCAAAAGUUUUUCUUUAUCCCUGAAAUUUGAAAAGUCACCAGGAUGUGCCCAGGUGCUGCUUUCUUCUCAUUGAACUUUACGGGUAUCCUGUGAGCUUUCUUCAUUUGCUGCCCUCCCAGAUGGCUUAAUAGCGUGACUUGGCUCCACUCCUGCCCACGGAAACAUGCCUGGACUAUCAACUAGACUGUACCAUAAGGGAGUGUAAAUGUCGAGUGAGGUUUCAUGCCAAAAUGCUCGUGUCAGCUGCAUUUGGAGAAAGUAUUUUUGAUGGCAGCAGCAAAGAAGACUUUAGCCUUCACGAGAUUCUAUUAUUUCCUAAGGAAAAACUGUCAUGUAUUAUCUGUGUAAGUAUAAUUUAUCCAGAUUUUUUACAUAUUUUGUCUGAUUGGUG